GAUGACUUUCUAACGGUUUUUAAUUGUUGCUUGGCCUUGUUUUUUUCUUAAUCAAACUAUGACUAUUAGUCAUUGAUAGACUACAGAGGCGGACUUAGAGGGAGGGUCAAGGUGCUCGCAUCACCUUUUUGUUGGGGAAAUUUGGUUGCUUGUAUAGGGAAUCAAUGAAAAAUGACUGUAGCGGGCCUACUCUUAGGCAGCCAGUCCCCCAUCCCUUUAUGAAAGCUCUGAAUACGCCACUGGACCACUGUUGCCUAUAUUUACCAUGGGUUGGCUAUUUAUUUAAAGAAGGACAAGUUAAACUAGA
rnacentral:lncRNA from 1 species